GUUUUCGUAACUUAAUUAAAGUAUAACACUGAAAAUGUUAAAAUGGACCCUAAAAAGUCCCGCAGAUA